AUGGUUUUCCCAGGAAGGGGAAGGAUCCGUGUCGAUGCUGACAGUGUUCAGAGGGUAUUUGAUCUCCCAAACAGGGGUCAAAAAGUCAGAUAUUUGGUUGACAAGGAUGCCACUAGGAGAUUUAGAGAGGUUUUCAACAUAAUUGGAAAUUCUCAUCCCCAGAUCACUACAUGGCUCAAGAUGAUUCAAGAUAUGGCUGGAAGAACCGAUGGCACAUUGUUUAUGGCCUGUCUUGCGGUUGCCUUCAGCACUUUUCUAGCACCAACCACGGCCUUGAAGCUCAGCCCAAAGUGUUAUGGACUUGUGCUAGAUCAUCAAAUGCUAAAGAACACAAACAUCUGCCUCUUUGUAGCAGAACACAUUAACGAAGCUUUCCGGGACAUGGACCCGGAGAAGCAAACUGCCUGCUGCUGCUUGUAUCACUUGAUGGUGAUCAAGAAGGAUACUAUCUCUCCUGGUGUGUUCGGCAAAUUACAACUUAAAGAGGAGUAUAGAGGCACGAAGCAGACACCACUAUUUGGUGGAAUUUUGCAAGCUGAAGCAUUCGUGGCAUCCAAGUUACCAAUAACCUACAAUCCGCAGGUUGGCACCUUCAUUGAAACAGUUGCCAAGAUCGAUGACGAGGAACCAGAUAUUGAUCCUUAUGUACAGCAGCCAUCAAUGCAAAUCGGGGCGUCAUGCCGUGCUCCAAAAAGAAAGAGACAAGGGUCAACUAUACAAGAAGAAGAAGAGUUUGUUGAGGAUGAGUCAGAAGAAGAUGAGGAAAUGGAAGCAGCGAUAGAUGCUGACGACGAUGAGGACACAGAUGCGGAUGAAUCAGGGGAGGAGGACAAGGAUGAGGAUGACAAUGAAGAAGAUUCAGAGGAGGAGGAGGACAAACAAGAAGAGGAAAAAGGAGAGGAGGAGGACAAGGAAGAAGAUAGUGAGGCAGAGGAGGAGGAAUAA
rnacentral:rRNA from 1 species